ensembl:lincRNA
CCCAGGACUUCAAAGGACUACAACGAACACAACAAUGACAAAGUAGCCCUGAACUGUGUGACGUGAUCAUGACCAACACGUCAGUACAUGGUGACCAAUGAAAUUCUACCGUGUGCGUGCGGGGUGCUGGGGUGAGUGUGGGGUGUGCAGCUCCAGACUGAGAUUCUUGGAGCUCUUCUGCUGGCUGCAAAGUCACGGAAUAGAUUUUAGUUACGUGUGCCCUUUGUGUGCCUCUGAAUGAGACACCGGAGAGGCCAGCCGGCUUUCUCUGUACUCCAUUUUCCAUGAGCUUGCACACCGGGCCAAACAUGACAAGCGGCAAUGCUCAGAAUGGAACUCAAGACAUCAUGAGCCGGGUGUCUGUUUUCGGGAAAGGAAACAAAUCUCAAUUACUUGGGGCAAUUAAGGGGAAGGGGAAAAGGACCGUUCACUGUAGAUGUAGCCUUGGAGCAAAGGAAAAUUAUUUGAGAUGAAGAAGAGUCACAUGGUAUGGUGAGUGUUGCUAAUUGAGUUGGAGCAGAGAAAGAAUACUUAUCAAGUCAGAUGAAGGUAGGCACAAGCAUUAAAAAAACCUCAUUGGUAAAUGUCUAAUAGUGACAAAUUUUCAGGGAAGAAUGACUUUUUGUAUUGAGCUCUUGUUUACUGUACAAGUGGUCCUUAAGUCAUUCAAAGGAGAAGAAAUGAAUUGUCUACCUUAAGCAUAUAAGACCUGUGUAGAUAUGUUAGGUAUUUUUUGCAUUCUCCUAAUAAAUAGCAAAGUUUAUUUUUCUUGUUUUUAAAAGUAGUGUCAAAUAGACAUAGUGCCAGACUAAAAUCAUAAAUUAAAUCUUGUUCAAUUUUCUCUUUUUUGCUAAAUUUAACAGUCUCCAAUCCUAAAAAGUAACUCUCCUAUAGACAAUACCCCUGGUCAUUAUUCAUUUGCAUUUCUUCAUGAUGUAUCCUUUCUCACAGAACGGGGUAAGAGGAUUCAUGAACAUUCACAAAGUCUUUCAGAGAAAUGUUACCAAAGAGUAAAUUACAUCCAGGUGAUUCCCCUAGCCCAAGUGAAUAUAAAUAAAUGACAAAUAAAUGCAAGGGCCUUUGAUGGAAAAAUUAUUUAAAAGAACUUUAUAACUGAAAUUAAGGCAUUUAAUUACAUGUUAAAUGCCACUGAUUUUUUUUUUUUCUUGAAUUACUGCGAUUUCAAGGCAGCUUAACAAGAAAGAGAACAAGUUUGGAAAUAUUCAUGUAUUGGCCAUCAGGGGUCUAAGCAUGAAUUAAAGCAUUGUAAGAGUUGUUGGGGAUUUUACAUGCCCAGGAAGCAAACAGCCACAGAAACAAAGAUAAACCAUUACCUAGCUUUGCGAUCAUAACCACUGCUCUCAUAAAUCUCCAAAUUAGUUGAUGAAUUAUUUUUUUCAAGAAAUGAAUGUAUGGCUUUCAGCUGCUAAAUAUUGGCUGUUUCUGAAAUGGUUCUACUAAGAUAAAUGGAAGCUUUAGUCUUCUUGCUACUUGUUUAAGGCUCCUUUGCAUUUUUCCUUCACAGCAGCCAUGUUUCAUUGCCAGGAAAGUUAUGCAAUUUGAGCCAAGCUACCUUUUACUCCCAGUAAAUCAAUAUGUGUCAGAAAAGCCGAAGAGAAUGUAAUAUCACUCACUAUCACAGGACAUUCCCUUAGAGCAGUUCCCAGAAGACACUGCUGGGUUCAGUUGCUAUAGUAACACAGCUCUAGUGCCUUUCUUCCUUGGCUUGUGGUGGUGAGUUGAUUUUUACCACCCAGGUAUAAUUCUGAAGAAUGUUUAUGGCAAAGAGAAAAGCACACAGAGUCAAUAACAAUGUGUGCGACCUUUCUAUUGAUCUGGAAUGAUUUAAUCCCAAAGUAGUAAAUAGAAGGUUAUUCCAUAACAAUGCAAAUCCCUGUGCUGAGUUCCAGUUAAAUUAUUCAUUGUCAUUUCUUUGGGCCCUUCAAGUAGUCAAAUUCUUCAAACUGUGCAAAAAUGUCUUUAAGCUAUGGGAGUGUGAGUGUCAAAUCACACUUAGUUUUACUGAAAUGUGGGGGCCUGCUUGAAAAUGUCCUGAAGUAAUACUAAUUCACUUAAAAAUAUCUGUAAUCAUCAAAAUGCAGUGAGACUAGAAUGCAAAUAAGGGAGAAUUGUCUUCUGUGCCUUUCAGUAAAAAGAUAUAAGAACAGCUAACAAUAUAUUUUAAAUUAUAUAUAAAGUCCUAGUUGGUUGUGAAUGUUAAAUGAGAUAGACAACAUAAAGAAUUUGGACAGCACCUAACAUACAGAGGACACCUCCCAAAUAUUAUUAUGAUUGUUAUCACUUCAUAAUAGAGACAGAAGAUGUAUUACUUCCCUGUCUUUAUGGUAGGCAAUUGUAUUACUGUCCUUUGUUUUCUGAAUAACUUAAUGAAAAAAUGUUAUAAGAGUGACUUUAUGAUAGUCAGACCUUCAACAUGAUAUAACAAACCCUUUUGAGAAGAAUAAUCUUUAGAUUAAUCGUUAGCAUUUAACGGACUUGACACAAGAGGAAGCUUGGUAUGUAAUGUGUUGUAGGUUAGAGAGUCAUGACUGCAAAUAUCAUAUCACUUACUGGAGACUUUAAAUUCUUAAGACUUUAUUUUUCACUACCUAUAAGAAAAGAGCAAAAAUAAUAUCCUCACAAUAUGGUAGAGAGAAGUCUGUCAGAGAAGGUACAUAAAGUACCUGGUAAAACGUUAGCAAAAAUAGCCUUUAUUAAAUUUUAGUUGUCUU